rnacentral:rRNA from 1 species
AACUAACGCUGGCGGCGCGUCUUAAACAUGCAAGUCGAACGGAUGUAGCAAUACAUUAGUGGCGAACGGGUGAGUAACACGUAGGUAAUCUACCUCUGAGUCUGGAACAACCUGAUGAAAAUCAGGCUAAUACUGGAUAGUAUUAAUUUGGCGAAUGUCGGAUUAAUUAAAGCAUUUAUGCGCUGAGAGAUGAGCCUGCGGCUGAUUAGCUAGUUGGCGGGGUAAAGGCCCACCAAGGCGACGAUCAGUAGCCGGCCUGAGAGGGUGAACGGCCACAUUGGGGACUGAGACACGGCCCAGACUCCUACGGGAGGCAGCAGUAGGGAAUCUUGCGCAAUGGGCGAAAGCCUGACGCAGCAACGCCGCGUGCGGGAUGACGGCCUUCGUGGUUGUAACCGCUUUCAGCAGGGACGAAAAUAGACGGUACCUGCAGAAGAAGACCCCGG